CAGGCAUGUUACAAUGACAGAGGUGUUAGGUGCAAAGUAACAGGGAAAUGUUAAACAGUCCUGAGAAGAGUUCUAAUCGACACAUACAGUGAAAACACCUGGAGGUUGACCCUGAGCAAUGAUCCCUGCAGUGAUGUCGGCCUGGAUGAAGCGAUCGACGAUGACACCGCUCCGGAGAACCACACCAUGAUACGGCUGCCGGGCGAUCAGGAAGCUGAGGACCGGCUUCAAGCCAGGAGCCAACACCGGGACCUCGUCAUUGACGGGUUUCACCUGGAGAAGACAGCGAGAUAAACAAAAAAAGAAGAAUCAACAGUGGAUGGCAUUCGGAUUGUGCAUUCCAUAAAGGAGGCCCGUUAUUUUGUGAAAUGAGGAG